CUGGAAAGACUAUUCUGGAUUCAAAUUGUUACUUUUAGAAUAGAUUUUUCGUAAGUGCAAUACUGAUCUUCGGAACCCCCUUUCUA
rnacentral:pre_miRNA from 1 species